UGGGGAAUAUUGGACAAUGGGCGCAAGCCUGAUCCAGCAAUGCCGCGUGUGUGAAGAAGGCCUUCGGGUUGUAAAGCACUUUUAUCAGGAGCGAAACGCUGUCGGCUAAUACCCGGCGGAACUGACGGUACCUGAGGAAUAAGCACCGGCUAACUUCGUGCCAGCAGCCGCGGUAAUACGAGGGGUGCAAGCGUUAAUCGGAAUUACUGGGCGUAAAGCGUGCGUAGGCGGUUUCUUAAGUCUGCUGUGAAAUCCCCGGGCUCAACCUGGGAAUGGCAGUGGAUACUGGGAGGCUAGAGUGUGUCAGAGGGUGGUGGAAUUCCCGGUGUAGCGGUGAAAUGCGUAGAGAUCGGGAGGAACAUCAGUGGCGAAGGCGGCCACCUGGGACAACACUGACGCUGAGGCACGAAAGCGUGGGGAGCAAACAGGAUUAGAUACCCUGGUAGUCCACGCCCUAAACGAUGCGAACUGGAUGUUGGUCUCAACUCGGAGAUCAGUGUCGAAGCUAACGCGUUAAGUUCGCCGCCUGGGGAGUACGGUCGCAAGACUGAAACUUAAAUGAAUUGACGGGGUCAUAGCUGUUUCCUG
rnacentral:rRNA from 1 species